UCCCCAACAAACAGGACCUUCCUGGGAAGUGGGGGGAGGCUGGCUGCUGCAUAACGACUGCUCAGUUUCUGGUAAAACUCCUCAAUCUCGCUGUACUUUUUGGAGACCUGGAAUGAGAGGAGCAUGUGGUUUCUUGAGUGAAGAGUGGCAGGGAGUGCUCCUUUCUCACCCCGAACAGGGGUCCCCGAGGCCCGGCAGCCACAGGAAGCAUGCCAGGCACGCCCGUCUGCUGCCCCUCCGCCUGUCUCCCGGCCUCAAGCUCCAGUCCCUAACCCUCCUGGCCGAUAGAUUCAAACAUCUUAGUGGCCCAGAGGAAACGUGCAAUAACGGUGCCAUUCUGGGCACUGUCACAGGUCCAGGUAAAAAGAUUCGAUACAGGGAGCCCUCCUGGCCUGCAGGUGAUCAGGGCCACUGCGUUCAUUCCCAGCUUUCUGCGUAUCAGGAGGGUGAUCUCACCGGCUGGCAGGUCAUCUUCCUGCAACGCCGUGAAUCACCUGUUCUCAGCACCGACCUCAUUCUCCCGUGAACCAGCGCAGCCUUCAGCGGGCCAGCCCACACAAGCAGUGGAGACAGAUAUUUCCAAGGCUGAUUCUCUGCCCCACGUCAGGCAGGACCUUCGCACGCAGGCACCCGAGUGAGACAGGCCAGGACUCUUGCUGUCGUCAGAAGGCGGCCUUGAACACCAUCUGACUCAGAGAGGGCAGCACUCAGCUUCCCGUGGGGCCAGCGGGUGACUCCCGCCGCCUCCUCAGCCUCUCCCCACAGCUCCUGGGCAGCUAAGUCUUCGCUCCUCCACUCAUGGAGCUCCUGCUGCAUGUUUACUCUGUACACGGACACCCCAGCAGGCUCUCGGCCUCACAGUGGUUUCAGUCCAUCACCAUGUCUGUAACCCUGUGGGUGCUCAGCAAAGUCACCUGCUGUAUACACACACCAUCGGUCUGGCACCUACCCUCACUCCUAGCUCCUCUGUACUUUCCCCAUAGACUGGGCCUGUCUACCCCGACUGAAGUGUGGAUCACUCAUUCUUAUGCUCCCAGGCCCGGGCUGUGCCCACGGUGUGCCACUGGAGUGCUGGCAUGCAGGGGCUGUGGGCAUCUGACGCCCUCUGGCUCGCGGGGAUCCCUUGGUGCAGGGUGUGUCUGGAGCACACCCCUUGGCUCCAGCAACACCACCCAGAAUGCCCAGCCUGCAAAGGGUCAAGAUACCAGGAGGCAGCUGAGGGGACUUCAGAACCUCCAGUGGGGAGUCAUCUGGGACAGGUGCUCCUUGCUGUUAUCAGCACAAGAGCCUGGCUCCGGACUUUCCUGAAAACAGGCCUCAGGGAAACGCACGUGGACCCCUUCGCAGAGCGAUUGCUAUAACACAGGCUCCAACAGCAGCUGACUCCAGCCCCGCCCGCAGAGCAGGCCACGGUGGGGGCUGGGCGCCCUCUGCUGGCCCAACUGCUCCACUCAGGCUCAGACCACAGACCCAGCACACCCAGGCUUCGGGAACCUCCAUCUCCAGUGCACUGGCAGCCUCCUGUGACUCUGUAGACAUCCAGUUCUCUCCUUUCUGCCUCAGCUACAGACUCCUCUUUCUCCCCAAGAGUCUUGAACCCCUGGCAUCCUCAGGAUUUCCUUCUGAGCCCUUCUCUCUGCUUUCCACAUCUGUUCUCUGAACAACUUCAUCCACUCCCAGAUUGUUAGUAUCACCUGCAAGUUGAUGACACCGUAGCCUGCAUUUCAGGCCUGAGCCUGUACUGAGCUCCAGCCUCAUGUAUCCAUUCACAGGGCGGACACUUCACACUCCACAUGCCCCCUGGAUCUGCUCCUCUAUCAUAUUCUUUAUUUCAGUUGGAGGAAACAGUCAGCAAAUGUGGUGCAUGUUACCCCGUAAACAUUUUCAACGCUCCCUGUCCCUUCCAUACCAAGCGCAAUGGCCUGCUCCAAGCCCUUGCUUUGGGAAUGACCAUAUUGGCCAUGUAUCUGGGGUCGCUGACACCUGUUUUGUUCCUUCCAAUCCAAUGCCAUGCUCACAGCAGAUUGGCUGGUUAAAGGCAAAAGGGCCCAUGUCACUCUCCUGCUUAAAACUCUCCUUGGCUGAAGGUUAAGUCCAGGCUCCCGCACACCCUCCACAAUCUGGAUCCCGCCUGUCGCUCACCUUCAUCUUCCCCACUUCCUCCCAGGACCACACUCAACUGCGCAGAGUUCCCCACUCAACAUCCUGCUUCCAGCCUCCGUGCCUUUGCUCAGGCUGCGUCAUCUGCCAGGACACCCUUCUCGCCUCUUCUGCGGAGCCCCACCUGCUCCUCAAAACACAGCUCAACCACCACCUCUUCCAAGAAGUUUCCCCAGGGUGACUUAGGUGCCCCUUCUCUAUACCCCCAGAGCCCCCCAUGUGCUCCUGUCCCCAUCUGUAUCUGUCUCUUUAGAGGUCUGCCUCUCCAUGGACUGCGAGCGUCUGAUUCACUCCGUGUCCCUUCUGUCUAGCACGGUCUGGUACUCCAGGCCCUGAGCAAGCAACAGACAGAGAAGCACCUGCUCCGGAAGCUACUUGAACCCUGGUGGGCAGGUGUGUCUGCCCGCCCGGACCCCGGGCACCCUCGAAACAUCCUGGCCAGAGCCUCCGGCUCACCAAGAACUGGACGACAUCCUCGGGCCUGUGCUUGGCCGACUUGAACGCAGCCAGGCGGGUCACCACCAGGAUCUGGUACUCCACGUGUCCAGACAUCAUCUUGCCCCGCACCUCCUGGUGCUGAGGCACAGUCAGGUCGAGGCCAGUGUGGGCAUUCUGAAGUCGCCUGCCAGAGGAAAAGAAGGCAGGUGGGGUUCAGGGUCAAGGCAGCGGGCUUCCUGAGCAAAGUGUGGGUAGGGCCUCCGGGUGCCUGACAGGCCUGGGUGCCAGGCGACUGCUGGCUGUCCUCGGUGGUCACUGUUCCAGGCCACUCAUCCUGCCACACCAGCCCCUCAUAAGACUGGCUUCCCAGGCCUCGGGCCUGGUCCUGCCUUUGGGUUGCUCAGGGACAAAGCAGGAAACGGGAAAGGAUGGGGCUUGUUGAAAGGGAUCGACACAAACUCUGGGCAGACUGGGUGGAAGCAGCAUCCCAGUGUCUGUACUCAGACCAAGGAACAUGCCUGGGGUUGCAGAGACAACAAGGGACUGAAAUCCCAGCUGGAGACAGGCACCUCUCUUUGGCUAAUGGGCAGGAGGGCUGCUAUAGGCCCCCUGGGGCAGGGGACAGGGGAUGGGCACUGGAGGCAGGGCCCUUGUGACCCCCCCGUGGCCCAGAGAGGCAGUGACAGGCCUGUCCCUCAUGUGGGCAGUGGAUGCUGCCCCUCGAGGUGUAGAGAGGAUGCAUCGGCAAAACAUCACCACUCUUGGAGACUUGUAAAAUGCAAUUCGAAUAUACUGAAUUGUAUGACGAGCAAAGAAAUGAUGAGAUGUUUUCCUUGAAGUGGAAAAAGUUAUUAAAUACAUCCCUCAUCCUACGUAAGGUGAGACACAGACCUGUGCAGACUAACGUCCCUCACGCAAACGCCUCUGGCAGGACAUGCCAGGCACCCUCUGAGCAGCUCUGACCAUCAAGGUGAGACCUCCUGUGUGCCGGGCAGGACCCUGAAAACACAGGAGGGGCUUCUGGGAGCUUAACCUGUGUCUGGGGCAAGGCCCCUCCCUCUCUGGAAUUAUACCCCAAUCCAUCAAAUCCCCCCGGCCUGAGCACUCCUCCCACAUAGACCCCUCACAUCCCACGUUAGGCCACGUGGUCACCAGCACGACGCUGCUGUCACCAACUGAUGAAGCCUACAGUGAUGCGCCUCCUAUGCCGUGUGUGCCACCCAGUGACUGUGUGCUGUACACACAAGGAAUAUCCUUCCGCAGUGUAGGGCACCCCAGGAAACCUGCCUUCAGGUGGUGAAAAGUGGGUGAGGGCCGAAUGGGCACUGGGAGGUGCACAUGUACAGCCAGCCCUCUGCCAAUGGCACUGAGUUCACGCGGUGUGCACUCGCGGCCUGGUGUCGCCCACGGUGUCACUGUCACCAGUGUGGAGGAGGAAGGUGAGGCUGGAUGCUGCGGGGAGAUGCGCUGGGCUCUAGGAAUGUACCUUUGUGAAGUCACUUCCGCUUCCUGCAGCCCUGCGAAGGAGCUCUGCUACUCAGACCCACUUAAAAGACAGGGAAACAGACCCUAACGGGAAAGAGGCUGCCCAGGUCUCACCCGGCAUGAGGUGGAGCUGCGUUCAAUUCCAGACAGCUGCUCCAGAGCCCAGGUGGCCUCUCAUGGGGCAGGCAUGAGAAAGAAGCCAGGCAUCAUUUCUUUAGGAUCAUGAUGAAAACGAGGCACACAGGGGUGAAAGUGACAAGAAGGGCGGUGCCUGAGCUGGGGGGAGGUCCUCUCAGGGGUAGGAAGGGGAUGGAGCAGAUCCAGAUGGGCAUCUCCCACCAUCCAGCUCCCUCACAGCACCCCACAUCCAAUGGUUCUCUGACCACGCCAGAACCCACAUUCCAUAACCCCACCCCUUUUCCAGGGUCCCAUUCCAUUGGUGGAAUCCCUCUGCCUCAGGCCCAGCUCCUCUGACUUCUUACCCAGGGCUGAGCUGGCCUGGUCAAAGCCCACUUCUCCAGUUCUCUGCUUCCUUCACCCUGUGCCCAGGUGGCUCAACGUGACUGGGCACAGACAUGGUGCAAACAUGCAGCCUGGUCCCAUUGAAAUUCACGGCUGCAGACUUGAAGGCACAGCACCGCACCAGGCUUGGCAACCCUACCUCGCCCUAGAUGUGGGGUUCUCAAAGUGUGGUCCCUGGAUCAGGAUCAACAUCGCCUGGGAACUUGUAAGAAAGGCAUGUUUGGGCCUAGGGUGGCCAGCAAUCUUGUUUUUUCAGUAAGCCCUCCAGCGACUCUGAUGCACCUGGGCCUACUCCGUCACCCUCCCACUUCCCUGAAUCCACAGGAAAACUCUUUCUCUGCAGGGCCAGGUAGCAAAUAUUUCAGGCUAUGCAGGGUAUCUGGUCUCCGCUGCAGCUGCUACGGAGAGUACAUAAACAAAUGGGGGUAUGGUGGGCAGGAUGUACCCUACACCAAGCUUCUCCAACUGUAAUGUGUGUGCAACCCCCUGAGGAUCCUGUUAAUAUGCAGAUUCUGGUUCUGCAGGCCCGGGGUGGGCCUGAGAGUCAUCAUCUCUAGUAAAUUCCCAAGUGAUGUGGACACUGUUGUGUGCUGCUCCAGAGACCAUCAGAGAACAUCCUGGGCUUCACUGUCACAUGUGCCCAUCAGCCUGCAGCUGCUCCCUGAUAGCUGCCCUCUCCUGGGACUGUAGACAAACUGGCUGGCUGCUCCUAAGGGCAGCGGCUCCGAGCCCCUCCCACCUACUCAAGGACAUAGCUGCUGCAGCUCACCCCUCUUUUCCGCACCAUCGAUUUUCCUUCCUUACUGGCCCACUCGUUAGCAUGCAACCACGCUCUGACCGCUCAGGUAACAAAAGCUGUGCUUUGACCUGACAUUCCCCUUGCUCCAUUUCCCUCCUGCCCUUUCCAGCAGAACUUCUCAACAGAGGGCCCCAUAUUCAUGGGUUCCUCUCCUCCUGUUUGAUUUUGAACCUGUUCCAGCCAGACUUUGGUCCUCAUCAUGCAACAAACUGCCCACGUCCGGGUCACCUGUGACCUCCGUGUUGUUAAAUCCAAAGGUGAGUCCUCAUUUCUCCUCUGGUCUCACUUGUCAGCAGCAGCGGGCACAGUCAGCCGCUCCCUCCUUCAAGCUCUGCCUUCUCUGGCGGCUGCAGCGCCCCUUCCCUCUUGCUUCUUCUCUGCCCACCCUGGCCACUGUUGCUCAAACAGGAGGAGAGGAACUGCUUUGGAUGGUUUCCCUUGAUGGCAUCCAGAGCACCCUCCUUAGAUCUUCUUCCUCUCACUGUACCCCUCCCCAGGUGAUCUCAUCCAGGCUCCAGGCUUUAAAUACCGUUUCCGAGCCAAUGGCUCCCCAACUCCCAUCUUUAGCCCACUCUCCCCUCACGGCCAGCCCCCUUCCAGCUACCUGCCUGACAUUCCCACUGGGCUGUCAACGAGCUUCUCAAACUCCCCUGUCCACACCAAUGCUGCUCCCACCUCUCCCCAAGCCUGCUAAAUGGCAGCCUCAUUCUUUCAGCAUCUUAGGCUGAGAGACUUGCUGUGAGUCUUGACUUCUCUUUCUUGUUCUCAUAUCCAAGCAACAGCAAACCUGAAAGCUCAAUCUUCAAAAUAUAUCCACAACCCAAACAUUUCUCACCCUCAUGGCCACCAUCACCCUGGGCCAAGCUACCACUGGCUCUAUGUGGAAUCCUACGAGCAAUCCUGCUCAGCAUAGCGGUCAAAGGAUCUCUAUAAACCAUAAGUUGGGUCCUAUUGCACUUGAAAUAAAACCCGAUGGCCCCUCCACAGCCUUCAAGCCCUUUCCUGAUGAUCCCUCACUCCCAAGUUUGCCUCUUCACCCCAUCACCUAACACUCUCCCUGGGCUCACUCCACUCCAGCCAUACCAGCCUCGGGAUCCUGCUGUCCUGUCCUCCGAGUACACACUUUUCCAAGAUUUCUUUUUCAUGGCUGUCUCCCUCAGGGAGCUUGUCAGGCAUCCGCCCAGGGGCCACUCCAUCAGAAAGACAGCCCUUGACCACACCAUAGAAAAUAGCAUGCGUGCCUCCUACCACUCUGUUGCCCCCACUGUUUUGUUUUCCUUCUUAACAUGUAUCAUCCCUGACAUGUAGAUUUGCCUAUUGUGCCUGUGCCCCCAUUAAAGCUCUCUGAGAGGGACUUGUUUGUCUCCUAGAACUUGGGCCAGUACCCGGUACAGAGGAGGCUCUCAAUAAACACCUGCUGGUUGAA